rnacentral:rRNA from 1 species
UACGGGGGGGGCAAGCGGUUGUUCGGAAUUACUGGGCGUAAAGGGCUCGUAGGCGGCCAACUAAGUCAUACGUGAAAUCCCUCGGCUUAACCGGGGAACUGCGUCUGAUACUGGAUGGCUUGAGUUCGGGAGAGGGAUGCGGAAUUCCAGGUGUAGCGGUGAAAUGCGUAGAUAUCUGGAGGAACACCGGUGGCGAAGGCGGGUCUGCUGGGCGAGUAACUGACGCUGAGGAGCGAAAGCG